rnacentral:lncRNA from 1 species
UUGUUAGCUGCUUUUCACCUUCUGUAUACCAAAUACUGGAGGCACCAGCAGGUCUGACUUUCAACUCUGGGCUAGAAAGUCCUGCUACAGAGCUUUCUUCAGUCUCAUAUUUAUCCAUUUUACUGGACUCUGAUCUCUGAAGAUUCUGAAUUCCCAUCCAGGGUGCAUCUAAGUCUUUUAUCCAAAGAAAAAAAGAUUCAGGUUUAAAACAAGUGGCAGCUUCUCUUGGAUGCUCAAAACAAAAGAAUGCCUCAGAAAAUCUGCGUACCUAAAAAAUUCCAA